rnacentral:antisense_RNA from 1 species
GGGCGGAUGUGCAAUCUUCACCUGUUUAUUCGGUAGAGGGUGCCAUCUUCAGGUAGCCCUUCACGUUGUACAGAAAACAAUGGAGACUUCUCCUCCUGGGGCAGCUCAGAUAACAAGUGCCACUUCCAGGCUAAAGGAAUCCAUUCAGCAAACUCCCAGUAUGAAUGUUUCUGCUCUCGGCUGGAGAAACAGAAGAAGCAUUAAUGGAGGAGGAGAGGGAUUCUAGAGCAGCACAGUCUAAUACAACUUUCUGUGGGGAUGGAAAUGAUCCAUUAUCUGUGCUGCCCAAUAUGCCAGAUGCUAGCUCCAAUUAGCUACUGAGCACUUAAAAUGUGACUAGCACAGCUGAGAAACAGCCUUUCAUUUUAUUUCACUUUAAUUAAAGAGUUCUAGAGCUCCUGCCUCUAGAGCAGUGCUUUUUAG